AUGUCGUGGUCUUCGGGUCGUUCUCAGGCUCCCAGCUUCCGUCGAGCCUCUGGAAGGAGAGGGGAUGAAUCGAGGUUGCCAGUGCCCUACCGUGAGAGCCCGAUGGCGUACGAGCCAGAGAAGCUCUGCUGGUGCACGUCGCGUCGGAAGGCCCCGAGAUGGAUCUCAUGGAGGCGUCAGAACACUGGCAGGAGGUACUAUGCCUGCGUGGAUGCCAUGGUGAGCUUUUUCUGUUCAGUAGAUCUUGUCCCCUCUCAAACCCUGAUUUCUAUUGCUACAACAUGGUGGUUGUGGCUAUGUUGA
rnacentral:rRNA from 1 species